rnacentral:rRNA from 1 species
CAAUAGCGUAUAUUUAAGUUGCUGCAGUUAAAAAGCUCGUAGUUGGAUUUCGGGUGGGAAUGGCCGGUCCGCCGUUUCGGUGUGCACUUGCUACGCCCACCUUGCUGCCGGGGACGUGCUCUUGAGUUCACGCUCGGGACACGGAGUCGGCGAGGUUACUUUGAGUAAAUUAGAGUGUUCAAAGCAGGCCUACGCUCUGAAUACAUUAGCAUGGAAUAACACGAUAGGACUCUGGCCUAUCUUGUUGGUCUGUAGGACUGGAGUAAUGAUUAAGAGGGACAGUCGGGGGCAUUCGUAUUUCAUUGUCAGAGGUGAAAUUCUUGGAUUUAUGAAAGACGAACUACUGCGAAAGCAUUUGCCAAGGAUGUUUUCAUUAA